rnacentral:rRNA from 1 species
CCCUUAGAUGUUCUGGGCCGCACGCGUGCUACACUGAACGGUUCAAUGGGUAAGGUAGUGCGAAGGCAUGACCUAAUCUCGAAAUCCGUUCGUGCUGGGGAUAGAAGCUUGCAAUUAUCCUUCUUGAACGAGGAAUACCUUGUAAGCGUGAGUCAUCAUCUCACGCUGAAUACGUCCCUGCCCUUUGUACACACCGCCCGUCGCUCCUACCGAUUGAGUGUUCCGGUGAGGCUUUGGGAGAAUGGCCUCAACAUGAGUUUAUCGUGUUUUGCCGUUUGAACUUAGUCAAACCUUAUCACUUAGAGGAAGGAGAAGUCGUAACA